rnacentral:rRNA from 1 species
GAUGAACGCUGGCGGCGUGCUUAACACAUGCAAGUCUAACGAUGAAGCCCAGCUUGCUGGGUGGAUUAGUGGCGAACGGGUGAGCAACACGUGAGUAACCUGCCCUUAACUCUGGGAUAAGCCUGGGAAACUGGGUCUAAUACCGGAUAGGAGCGCCUACCGCAUGGUGGGUGUUGGAAAGAUUUAUCGGUUUUGGAUGGACUCGCGGCCUAUCAGCUUGUUGGUGAGGUAAUGGCUCACCAAGGCGACGACGGGUAGCCGGCCUGAGAGGGUGACCGGCCACACUGGGACUGAGACACGGCCCAGACUCCUACGGGAGGCAGCAGUGGGGAAUAUUGCACAAUGGGCGAAAGCCUGAUGCAGCGACGCCGCGUGAGGGAUGACGGCCUUCGGGUUGUAAACCUCUUUCAGUAGGGAAGAAGCGAAAGUGACGGUACCUGCAGAAGAAGCACCGGCUAACUACGUG